AUGGGAAUUGGGGGCGGGAGGAGCAGAUCAGGAAAGAACUGUGCUGGGUGUGGGUUCCACGGCUCUGGGCAGGCUCUCCCUGCCUCUCCCCUCCUGACAAAGGUGAGCCUGUGAGUCACUGGCUCUGCCCGCCUCCCCUGUCCAGCCCCUUUCCCUGCGUGCUCACCACCAGCUCCUCACCUCGCCAUUGCUCACCUGUCUGCGUAUCUGUUCCCCUAAUUGAGUCAGCACUCGAGCUUUUCCUAGGACCAGCCCUACGGUGAACCGCACAGUCACGAAUGGCCCGCGUGUCAAUGGGCUGAAAUGAUUGAACAAUGAAAGUCCAGUACCAGCCAAGAUUGAUGGUUCGAUUCUAAGGAAAUAACAUACCGAGCUAUUGCUCCGUAAGAAGCAUUUUGCAGAGCAGCCAGUAGAGAGCGCGAGGUGCCUCGAGCCGCGGCGUUUCGCAGAUCAGUGAAUAUGCACGAGACGGCGUGGAAGGGCACAGCGACCGGGGCAGUGCGGAUUUUAUAAACGACCAACUCACACGCGGCCCAGCCGCGGUCCUGGCGGCUGCUGCUGAAGAGAUAUUCGCGCCGGACAGACAGAAGGCGACACUAAAAAGCCAACAUAGCAGACAACCGUCCAGUGGUGGCGAAGGAGCAAGCUGGUGCCUUCGAGGCAGGUGCCCAGCGCUGCUGUCCAAGGUGCGUGUGAGGCUGCUGCUAACGACAGCCUUGUGUGUGCCUCCGAGGGGGGUUCCGGCUCAGAAGACGAGAUGACGGAGGUGAUGAGGGUGU
rnacentral:lncRNA from 1 species